rnacentral:tRNA from 1 species
UCCCCUGUAGCUCAGUUGUUAAAGAAUCUGCCUGCAAUGCAGGAGACCCGGGUUCGAUCCCUGGGUCGGGAA